GACGGGUGAGUAACGCGUGGGAAUCUACCCAAUUCUACGGAACAACAGUUGGAAACGACUGCUAAUACCGUAUACGCCCUACGGGGGAAAGAUUUAUCGGAAUUGGAUGAGCCCGCGUUGGAUUAGCUAGUUGGUGGGGUAAAGGCCUACCAAGGCGACGAUCCAUAGCUGGUCUGAGAGGAUGAUCAGCCACAUUGGGACUGAGACACGGCCCAAACUCCUACGGGAGGCAGCAGUGGGGAAUAUUGGACAAUGGGCGCAAGCCUGAUCCAGCCAUGCCGCGUGAGUGAUGAAGGUCUUAGGAUUGUAAAGCUCUUUCACCGGAGAAGAUAAUGACGGUAUCCGGAGAAGAAGCCCCGGCUAACUUCGUGCCAGCAGCCGCGGUAAUACGAAGGGGGCUAGCGUUGUUCGGAAUUACUGGGCGUAAAGCGCACGUAGGCGGAUAUUUAAGUCAGGGGUGAAAUCCCAGAGCUCAACUCUGGAACUGCCUUUGAUACUGGGUAUCUUGAGUAUGGAAGAGGUGAGUGGAAUUGCGAGUGUAGAGGUGAAAUUCGUAGAUAUUCGCAGGAACACCAGUGGCGAAGGCGGCUCACUGGUCC
rnacentral:rRNA from 1 species